rnacentral:rRNA from 1 species
UACGUAGGGUGCAAGCGUUGUCCGGAUUUAUUGGGCGUAAAGAGCUCGUAGGCGGUCUGUCGCGUCGGAUGUGAAAAACCCAGGGCUCAACCCUGGGCCUGCAUUCGAUACGGGCAGGCUAGAGUUCGGUAGGGGAGACUGGAAUUCCUGGUGUAGCGGUGAAAUGCGCAGAUAUCAGGAGGAACACCGGUGGCGAAGGCGGGUCUCUGGGCCGAUACUGACGCUGAGGAGCGAAAGCGUGGGGGAGCGAACAGG